UACCAGCACCCCGAGUGGUCGGGACGAUUAUUGGGCCUAAAGCAUCCGUAGCCGGUCUUGCAAGUCUUCCGUUAAAUCCAGCUGCUUAACAGAUGGGCUGCGGAAGAUACUAUAGAGCUAGGAGGCGGGAGAGGCAAGCGGUACUCGAUGGGUAGGGGUAAAAUCCGUUGAUCCAUUGAAGACCACCAGUGGCGAAGGCGGCUUGCCAGAACGCGCUCGACGGUGAGGGAUGAAAGCUGGGGGAGCAAACCGG
rnacentral:rRNA from 1 species